GUGCUGGCUUUGGCAACACAUAUACUAAAAUUGGAAUGAUACGGAGAAGAUUAGCAUGGCCCUGGGCAAGGAUGACACCAAAAUUCAUGAAGCGUUCCAUAUUUAU
ensembl:snRNA U6 U6 spliceosomal RNA